UACGUAGGUGGCAAGCGUUGUUCGGAAUUACUGGGCGUAAAGGGCGCGUAGGCGGCUUGUUAAGUCGGCUGUGAAAGCCCGGGGCUCAACCCCGGAGGGUCGGCCGAUACUGGCGGGCUAGAGUACAGAAGAGGUAGCUGGAAUUCCUGGUGUAGCGGUGAAAUGCGUAGAUAUCAGGAGGAACACCUGAGGCGAAGGCGGGCUACUGGGCUGAUACUGACGCUGAGGCGCGAAAGCCAGGGGAGCAAAC
rnacentral:rRNA from 1 species